CCUACGGGCGGCAGCAGUGGGGAAUAUUGGACAAUGGGGGCAACCCUGAUCCAGCCAUGCCGCGUGUGUGAAGAAGGCCCUCGGGUUGUAAAGCACUUUCAGUGAGGAAGAACGCCUGGUGGUUAAUACCCAUCAGGAAAGACAUCACUCACAGAAGAAGCACCGGCUAACUCCGUGCCAGCAGCCGCGGUAAUACGGAGGGGGCGAGCGUUAAUCGGAAUUACUGGGCGUAAAGCGCGCGUAGGUGGCUUGAUAAGCCGGUUGUGAAAGCCCCGGGCUCAACCUGGGAACGGCAUCCGGAACUGUCAAGCUAGAGUGCAGGAGAGGAAGGUAGAAUUCCCGGUGUAGCGGUGAAAUGCGUAGAGAUCGGGAGGAAUACCAGUGGCGAAGGCGGCCUUCUGGACUGACACUGACACUGAGGUGCGAAAGCGUGGGUAGCAAACAGGAUUAGAUACCCGAGUAGUC
rnacentral:rRNA from 1 species